AUUGAACGCUGGCGGCAUGCUUUACACAUGCAAGUCGAACGGUAACAGGGUGCUUGCACCGCUGACGAGUGGCGAACGGGUGAGUAAUGCGUCGGAACGUGCCGAGUAGUGGGGGAUAACGCAUCGAAAGGUGUGCUAAUACCGCAUACGUACUGAGGUAGAAAGUGGGGGACCUUGGGGCCUCACGCUAUUCGAGCGGCCGACGUCUGAUUAGCUGGUUGGUGAGGGAAAGGCUCACCAAGGCGACGAUCAGUAGCGGGUCUGAGAGGAUGAUCCGCCAGACUGGGACUGAUACACAGCCCAGACUCCUACGGGAGGCAGCAGUGGGGAAUUUUGGACAAUGGGCGCAAGCCUGAUCCAGCCAUGCCGCGUGUCUGAAGAAGGCCUUCGGGUUGUAAAGGACUUUUGUCCGGGAGCAAAUGCCUGGUGUUAAUAGCACUGGGAGCUGAGAGUACCGGAAGAAUAAGCACCGGCUAACUACGUGCCAGCCGCCGCGGUAACAC
rnacentral:rRNA from 1 species